rnacentral:rRNA from 1 species
GCUCAGAUUGAACGCUGGCGGCAUGCUUUACACAUGCAAGUCGAACGGUAACAGGCCGCAAGGUGCUGACGAGUGGCGAACGGGUGAGUAAUGCAUCGGAACGUGCCCAGUCGUGGGGGAUAACGCAGCGAAAGCUGCGCUAAUACCGCAUACGAUCUAUGGAUGAAAGCGGGGGACCGUAAGGCCUCGCGCGAUUGGAGCGGCCGAUGUCAGAUUAGGUAGUUGGUGGGGUAAAGGCUCACCAAGCCAACGAUCUGUAGCUGGUCUGAGAGGACGACCAGCCACACUGGGACUGAGACACGGCCCAGACUCCUACGGGAGGCAGCAGUGGGGAAUUUUGGACAAUGGGCGCAAGCCUGAUCCAGCAAUGCCGCGUGCAGGAAGAAGGCCUUCGGGUUGUAAACUGCUUUUGUACGGAACGAAACGGUCCUGGUUAAUACCCGGGGCUAAUGACGGUACCGUAAGAAUAAGCACCGGCUAACUACGUGCCAGCAGCCGCGGUAAUACGUAGGGUGCAAGCGUUAAUCGGAAUUACUGGGCGUAAAGCGUGCGCAGGCGGUUUUGUAAGACAGGCGUGAAAUCCCCGGGCUUAACCUGGGAAUUGCGCUUGUGACUGCAAAGCUGGAGUGCGGCAGAGGGG